AGUGAACGCUGGCGGUAGGCCUAACACAUGCAAGUCGAACGGCAGCACAGUAAGAGCUUGCUCUUACGGGUGGCGAGUGGCGGACGGGUGAGGAAUACAUCGGAAUCUACUUUUUCGUGGGGGAUAACGUAGGGAAACUUACGCUAAUACCGCAUACGACCUACGGGUGAAAGCAGGGGAUCUUCGGACCUUGCGCGAUUGAAUGAGCCGAUGUCGGAUUAGCUAGUUGGCGGGGUAAAGGCCCACCAAGGCGACGAUCCGUAGCUGGUCUGAGAGGAUGAUCAGCCACACUGGAACUGAGACACGGUCCAUACUCCUACGGGAGGCAGCAGUGGGGAAUAUUGGACAAUGGGCGCAAGCCUGAUCCAGCCAUACCGCGUGGGUGAAGAAGGCCUUCGGGUUGUAAAGCCCUUUUGUUGGGAAAGAAAAGCAGCAAGUUAAUACCCCGCUGUUCUGACGGUACCCAAAGAAUAAGCACCGGCUAACUUCGUG
rnacentral:rRNA from 1 species